AUUGAACGCUGGCGGCAGGCCUAACACAUGCAAGUCGAGCGGCAGCACAGUGAUUGCUCGUGGUUACGGCGGGGGACGGGCGGGUAAUGCCUAAGAACAUGGCUAGCUACGGGGGCUUAGGUGCGGACGCAGGCGCUCAUACGGUAUUAGCCCAGAGGACGUACGGGGGGGAGCAUCGGAUCUUCCGCUCUCAGGCGAGUCGAGGUCGGAUUAGCUAGUUGGUGGGGUAAAGGCCUACCAAGGCGACGAUCCGUAGCUGGUCUGAGAGGAUGAUCAGCCACACUGGAACUGAGACACGGUCCAGACUCCUACGGGAGGCAGCAGUGGGGAAUAUUGGACAAUGGGCGAAAGCCUGAUCCAGCCAUGCCGCGUGGGUGAAGAAGGUCUUCGGAUUGUAAAGCACUUUUGUUGGGGAAGAAAAGCAGUAGGUUAAUACCUCGCUGUUUUGACGGUACCAACAGAAUAAGCACCGGCUAACUUCGUG
rnacentral:rRNA from 1 species